ACUUUAUUUUUAUUUACUUUCUCCACUCUAUCUAUCUACGAUGACUGCUACUAUUCGUAAGCUAUACUUGUUUUUCUUAAACUUUAAGUUUCAAGGGAACUAGGCUAAGCUUGGUUUCCCUAAGUUUUAUUCUUAGUUUGAUUAUUAGGUUUUGCUUUAAGUUUAAGUUAGUCAAGUAAACCCUUGUCAGCUUUAAUAGCUCUUAGCAUUUUCUAAGCACUGCAUCCCUCACUCAAAAAUUGAGAAACCUGAACCACAAGGCUGUUCCUGUGUCUCUUACCACCAGGUUAUCAAGGAAGGGUGUCCAACUCUACACGGCUUUUGGCCUUUCUCACUCCAUCUCUACAUGCUCUGACCUCAAUAAGCUGCAAAUGUUUCUGUGCUCCCCCUAUCAUCUCCGUCCCAGAGACUACUGCAGAUUAGAAGGCGAAAAAAACGCACUUGCAAUGACAUGUUCUCAGAGCUCAUGCAGUCCUCCCACACUGAAAGAGCUCAGCAGAAUGCGCGGAAGCAAACAAUGGCAGAGUCCAGGAAAGCAUUAAAUGAAUGCAAUGAGAGGAGGGAGGAGCAUGAUGAGAGGAGGCAAGAUGCAAUGCUGAGGCUAAUGGGGGAGCAAACCGACAUGCUCAGGCAUCUGAUGGAGCUGCAGGAAAGGCAGCAGGAGCACUGACCGCCGCUGCAGCCCCUGUAUAACCACCUGCCCUCCUCCCCAAAUUCCAUAUCCUCCUCACCCAGAUGCCUAAGAACUCGCAAGGGGAGGCUACGGGCACCCAGCCACUCCACCCCAGAGGAUUGCCCAAACAACAGAAGGCUGGCAUUCAAUAAGUUUCGAACUGUAGUGUGGCCUUGUUCUUCCCUCCUCCCCUCAUCCACCACCCCACUCGCUGC